ensembl:lncRNA
AAAGGUUCCUGUUGGAAAGAACGUAGGCUGCCGUGGCGGUGCCCACCUAUUCCACCUACGCCCGCCUAUAACUCCGUUCUCUGGACCCAGCUUGAAGGUGAAGUGCGAAAGCAAAACAAGGUAUUGUGCGGAUAUUGUGGGAAAAGCUAUUGUCCUUGAAUACGCCCUGUAAAGCCCAGCGUGAAGAUACAGUCACUUGUUGAAUACUUACCUGUCUGUACGAGCUAAAAGCUAUUGCCCUUGAAUACGCCCUGAAAAGCCCAGCGUGAAGAUACAGUCACUUGUUGAAUACUUACCUGUCUGUACGAGCUAAAAGCUAUUAUCCUUGAAUACGCCCUGUAAAGCCCAGCAUACAGUCACUUGUUGAAUACUUACCUGUCUGUACGAGCUAAAAGCUAUUGUCCUUGAAUACGCCCUGUAAAGCCCAGCGUGAAGAUACAGUCACUUGUUGAAUACUUAC